rnacentral:rRNA from 1 species
AUGAACGCUGGCGGUGUGCUUUAGGUAUGCAAGUCGAGCGGAUUCGUAGCAAUACGAGUCAGCGGCGGACGGGUGAGUAACACGUAAGAAUCUACCCUCGAGUUGUGAAUAACUCUCCGAAAGGAGGGCUAAUACACAAUGGUUCUCGCAAGAGUAAAGGUCUUAACUGGCCGCUUGAGGAGGAGCUUGCGUCCUAUCAGCUUGUUGGCGGGGUAAAAGCCCACCAAGGCAAUGACGGGUAGCUGGUCUGAGAGGAUGGUCAGCCACAGGGGCACUGAGACACGGGCUCCACACCUACGGGUGGCAGCAACCGGGAAUAUUGCGCAAUGGACGAAAGUCUGACGCAGCGACACCGCGUGGAGGAUGAAGGCCCUAGGGUCGUAAACUCCUUUUGAUAAGCCCUUCACAGCUUAUAGAAUAAGCCCUUACUAACUACGUGCCAGAAGUCUCGGUAAUACGUAGGGGGCAAGCGUUAUCCGGAUUUACUGGGCGUAAAGAGUGCGUAGGCGGUUUUGGAAGUCGCGCUUUAAAGCCUGUGGCUUAACCACAGAUAUGGGCGUGAUACUCCAUGACUAGAAGAUCGUUUGGGAUACUGGAACAGUUGGUGUAGCGGUGAAAUGCGUUGAUAUCAACUGGAACACCGAAGGCGAAGGCAAGUAUCUGAAAUUUUCUUGACGCUGAGGCACGACAGCUAGGGGAGCGAAACAGAUUAGAGACCUGUGUAGUCCUAGCCGUAAACAAUCCUCGCUAGAUUCCGGUUUUAAAGUCGGAGUCGCAGUUAACGCAUUAAGCGAGGCGCCUGGGGAGUACGGCCGCAAGGCUAAAACUCAAAGGAAUUGACGGGGACCCGCACAACCAGUGGAGCGUGUGGUUCAAUUUGAGACAAAGCAAAAAACCUCACCAAGGCUUGACAUGUAAUCGUUUUAUUUUUCUGGAAACAGAAGAAGAUCUUACGAAAGUAAGAUGAUUAUGCAGGUGUUGCAUGGCUGUCCUCAGUUCGUGCCGUGAGGUGUUCCAUUAAGUUGGGAAACGAACGCAACCCCUAUCCUGUGUUAAAUAUUCACAGGAGACUGCCCCUGCUUCGCAGGGGAGGAAGGCGGGGCGGACGUCAAGUCAGCAUGACCCUUAUGCCUUGGGCUACACACACCCUACAAUGGCGAAAAACAAUGAGCUGCAAGCCGGCAACGGCAAGCUAAUCUCUGAAAUUUCGCCUCAGUUCAGAUUGGGGUCUGAAACCCGACCCCAUGAAGUCGGAAUUGGUAGUAAUCGCGGAUCAGCGUGCCGCGGUGAAUACGUUCUCGGGUCUUGUACACACCGCCCGUCAAGGCAGCAAAGUCGGUAGCUAUCGAACCUCCACUCAAAGCGCAAAAGCUUUGAGUGGAAUGUCAAAU